AUUGAACGCUGGCGGCAUGCUUUACACAUGCAAGUCGAACGGCAGCGCGGGCUUCGGCCUGGCGGCGAGUGGCGAACGGGUGAGUAAUGCAUCUGAACGUGCCCAGUAGUGGGGGAUAGCCCGGCGAAAGCCGGAUUAAUACCGCAUACGACCUGAGGGUGAAAGCGGGGGGCCGAGAGGCCUCGCGCUAUUGGAGCGGCCGAUGUCGGUAUAGCUAGGUUGUGGGGUAAAGGCUUACCAAGGCGACGAUCCGUAGCUGGUCUUAGGGGACGACCAGCCACACUGGGAGUGAGACAGGGCACAGACUCCUACGGGAGGCAGCAGUGGGGAAUUUUGGACAAUGGGGGCAACCCUGAUCCAGCCAUGCCGCGUGCGGGAAGAAGGCCUUCGGGUUGUAAACCGCUUUUGUUCGGGAAGAAAUACUCUGGGCUAAUACCCCGGGGGGAUGACGGUACCGGAAGAAUAAGCACCGGCUAACUACGUG
rnacentral:rRNA from 1 species